UACGUAGGGGGCAAGCGUUGUCCGGAUUUAUUGGGCGUAAAGAGCGUGUAGGCGGCUUGGUAGGUCUCGCGUCAAAACCUGAGGCUCAACCUCAGUUCGCGUGGGAAACCACCCAGCUAGAGUCCGGAAGAGGAGAACGGAAUUCCCAGUGUAGCGGUGAAAUGCGCAGAUAUUGGGAAGAACACCGGUGGCGAAGGCGGCCUGCUGGGCGGCGACUGACGCUGAGGCGCGACAGCGUGGGGAGCAAACAGG
rnacentral:rRNA from 1 species